UUUAGCAAUCUCAAGAUGAAGAACAUUUGCGUAAUAGUCUUCACUUUUUUAAUAGUUUUCACUGCAACUGCUAUUGGAAUGCUCACAAAAUGGGGAAAACAUGUUAAUCGUGAUAAAGUUAUAUAUUAUGAGCAAAUCAUCAGCUUUGCAACUCCUUAUCAAAGUUCCCGAACUAUUCAGUUUCCUGCAAGAAAAAAAAUUAACAGAUUUACAAUAACUUUGAUUGAAGCUUAUGAUUACUUUCAAAACAAAAACACCAACGUAACGCUUUUGGCUGGAGGACCAGGCUAUAAAAACGUUACAAUGAAAUUUCAGGCUAAAGAAGGAGUUAAUUUAGCUUACGAUUUGAUUAUUUACGGUAAAAAAGUAAGAAAAAGUAAGAAAAAAGUAAAGAAAAAUAGUGAUAAAAAUAAAAUAAAUAACUAAAAUAAUCAAAGACA